AACAAACAACAGUCUGCCCAACUUGGAACCAGAACAUCAUAAAAACACUGUGUAAAGACAAUAAAACGAUCCAUCAACCACCACACCUUUAUUGAGUGCCAUGAAACCAUGAGAAGUUGAGAUUACUACUUGUAAGCUUAUCCACCAAGAUGCAUUUCAACAGAGCUGGAGAAAGGAAAUGACCAAAAGAUUGCACUCCCAACGCCUGACAUCCAGACAUCAGUGUUCCUAGGAAUGUGAUACUGCCGACCUACUGUAGAGGUUAGAGUGUAGGGGCGACAGGUAGCCUAGUGGUUAGAGUGUAGGGGAGACAGGUAGCCUAGUGGUUAGAGUGUAGGGGAGACAGGUAGCCUAGUGGUUAGAGUGUAGGGGAGACAGGUAGCCUAGCGGUUAGAGUGUAGGGGCGACAGGUAGCCUAGUGGUUAGAGUGUAGGGGUGACAGGUAGCCUAGUGGUUAGAGUGUAGGGGCGACAGGUAGCCUAGUGGUUAGAGUGUAGGGGUGACAGGUAGCCUAGUGGUUAGAGUGUAGGGGCGACAGGUAGCCUAGUGGUUAGAGUGUAGGGGCGACAGGUAGCCUAGCGGUAUGAGAUUUCUGUGUUAUGCACUAUAGACCGUUACCAUAUAUGUGAUUGAAUAUUAUCUGCUGUUGGCUUGUGUGUUAAUGUAUGUAGGUGUUAUUCAACAUAGCUG
ensembl:lncRNA